rnacentral:lncRNA from 1 species
GUGGGCUGGGCCAGCAGUCCUUCCUGCUUUGUGAGGCAGAGAUCAAGACUCCUCUGCUACGUGGAGGGGAGAACAUAAUUUUCAGGGCAGUUUCUCUCACUGAAGUAAAGCAGACCAAACAGAUCCAACAAAGGUAAGCACUCCCCCACUGCUCACUCCGCCCUCUUUCCUAAUGAGUUUCCUGCUUUUGUGGGACAGACCUAGAAGAGCUGCAAAAGAGUAGAAGGUACACGAUCGUCUAGAAAUUGCUUUGGAUUCCAAACCUGGAAAAAUAAGGUUCCAGUUUCCCACGCAAAACUUGUACAACAGGAUCUUCCCAUCGUUUGCUACCUUCCCAUAUUCACUAGUUCCCGGCUUUUAGUUUCGAAAAAAAUCUGUUGUCUGCCUACAAGAAAACUCAAAAGGAGGAAGGGAGAAUUUUUACUGGUGUCCCAUCCUCAGUUCAGAAGGUGAAGGAGCAGGGACAAAAGAGCAUGUGCAAUUUUCCUUGUGAUGAAGAGAGAAGUUAAAACAUGACUGCUCCUACCUACCGAAACCUCUCUCUGUAAACUCAAAUCUGCAUCCUAGACUGCUCUGAGUUCUAUUAAGAAGCUAGACCUUUUUGGACGAGCCUGGCAAUGUCUGUCCCCAUAACUGCUCAUCUGUUCUCAACUGUCUGCUACCACCAUCUAUACAACCAUGUGGUUGGAGACACACUGGAAGAACAUCCGCCAAGCCUUGUUGCUUCUUUUCACUGCUGCUCUUCUCAUCGGGGUCACCAUGCUGGCCAUUUCAUCUAACAUCAACCCAGUAGGCUAUUUCUUCCUAGGGGUGGGGGGAGUGUGUCUGAUCGGCUAUUUGCUGAGUGUGUUUGUUGAGUGUUACCUGAGGAAUCAGCACCGACAUGACACAAAUGAGAUACCUCCAAACAGGCAAAGCCAAGCAGGGGUAAACGCUGCCUAUGAAGCACCCCCCUAUGAGGAGGUGAUGACCAUGUCGGUUCCAGCAAUAUGGACGAUUGCAUCCAAUCCAGGCUUAGUGCCCUCACCGCUGAAUGAGCCGCCUCCCUACAAUGUAGUUAUUGAAUCAUCUGCCCAAGAAGAGAUUAUGGUGGAGGCUCUCAGGGUGUCAGUGGCAGCAGACACAAGGCACACCUCUGAGACAGACACUGGCUCCAGGAUGCAGCUGCAGCUGGUGCUGCCCCCAAGACUGCAGCGGUUUGUUUCGGACAUCCAUGAAGUGAAGGGUAUUGAAGACAGGCUUGAGCCACUGGAGCCACUCACUCCACCACCUGCUUAUGAGAGUGCCAUCAAUGAUGAGGUCUUUGAAGAGGCUUUCCAGCCCUCCUCUGUAUUAUGAUUAAUUUCACCUUCCAUGAAUGCGGAACCAAAUCCUCACCCCAGUACAGGAUGCUCCUAGAGGGAAGGUGAAAGAGCUGAGAUUUUUCACGCCUGAAACCAUAAAAGUUUGUCCCACCAUUCUUUAAACCAGAGCUGAACUACAGACACAGCUUCUGAAGUCACUAGAAUCUUUUUGCACAAAAUACAAAUCAAUGCAAUACCACAAUGCUUUUUCUUGGCAGAUGCAUAAAAACACUGUGAGGAAAGUUGUGUUAUAUAUGGCAACAAUUUUCCAACUGGAGAUACACCUUUAUGGGGGAGGAGAGUGAAUCACGAGAAGUGACAAAGUUGCCAAAGGACCUCUGAAGAAGGACUGUGGGAAGCAGCCAGGAGAAGCUGCCUGGGAAAGGGGAGGAACAGAAACAGCACUAAGUAGGUUCUGCCUGUGCAUUACAAACAGCAGUAUUGUUGAGAGCUGUUCAGCCACCCUAAAAUCCGUAUGGAGAGACUGAGGCUGCAGUUCCCCAAGUUGCUGUUUUGCAGCAACACAAAUUUAUGGUCUGUGCUGUUUGAUGCUACUCCUCUGCUGCACUUGCUCCGCAUCCUCAGCUGUGCCGCACCGCAGUGUAACCGAGGGGAGGGUGGCUGUCUUCAUCUGGAAGCUGGCACCACCUGAUACCUGUCACUUGGGGUUGAAAAGCUGAUGCCGAGCAUGGCACCAUGAAAGAACUAUUGUUCACAAGGUUCUCGUCCCACACAGCCUGCAGUGGUGGACAAGAGGGAGAUAAUAGCAGUUUUUCUCCCACAAGAAAGUCCAGCAGUGGAACACAUACACAUAUAUGCAUCCUCUGCCUGGACUGCCAGUCUGCGGAGCUGUACAGGAGGGUGUAUUUCUCUGCUGUACUACAUCCCCAAGCAUUGAUAGCUUGAGGUACCUUACUGUCAUCCUGGAGAGUUCUCCAGUUCUCCGUAGCAAUGCUGUGCACGGAGGCUUCUCUCUGGACUCUGGAAAGGGCCGCUCUGUCUGACAAGGCCACAGCUGCGACGGACGGCACCUGAGAAUCACAGUCCCGAGGCAUAUGCAUUCAUCAUCAUGACAGCUCUAGGCUGCAGCCAGGUUCUACCUCCACUGAUCACUGAUCAGUGAUGCUGUGUGGUCGUUUAAAACGGGUGAGUUAAGCUGAUAGGCUCUGCAGCACUAAAGUGGUCUGCAGUAUGCAAAGAGACAUUCAUGUCUGGUGAAUGUCCAAAUAAAAUAAAAAAAGAAAUAUGGUGGUCCGAAUCUCCUUAUGAAGGAGAGCAGCAAUCAUCACAGCCUUGUCUCAUACGACUGUGUCAUCUUUAAUUCAUAUGAGGAACCGUCAAACCAUAGGCUAGAAGCAAAUAAAUUAUUUCUGUUUGAUUCUUUAUAGUUCAAACUAAAAAAAGACCUUUUAUGUUGUUUAUAAAUAAACAGGACCGCAUUAAAAAUACCUGGUGUCAUCACUAGUU